rnacentral:rRNA from 1 species
UACGGAGGAUCCAAGCGUUUAUCCGGAAUUUAUUGGGUUUAAAGGGUGCGUAGGCGGUUCUAUAAGUCAGUGGUGAAAUCCGGCAGCUCAACUGUCGAUGUGCCAUUGAUACUGCAGGAACUUGAGUACAGACGAGGUAGGCGGAAUUGACGGUGUAGCGGUGAAAUGCUUAGAUAUCGUCAAGAACACCGAUAGCGAAGGCAGCUUACUAGACUGUAACUGACGCUGAUGCACGAAAGUGUGGGGAUCAAACAGG